GUCAUGUUGUGACUCCUCCCCUUAAGGUGAAGAGGUGAACUCUCAUGUGAUGUCUCUGAGGUCAUGUUGUGACUCCUCCCCUUAAGGUGAAGAGGUGAACUCUCAUGUGAUGUCUCUGAGGUCAUGUUGUGACUCCUCCCCUUAAGGUGAAGUGGUGAACUCUCAUGUGAUGUCUCUGAGGUCAUGUUGUGACUCCUCCCCUUAAGGUGAAGAGGUGAACUCUCAUGUGAUGUCUCUGAGGUCAUGUUGUGACUCCUCCCCUUAUGGUGAAGUGGUGAACUCUCAUGUGGUUUCCUGAGCUCUGACUCGUGGAACAAUGCUCGUCCCUCGGGAGGAAACCCGAGAGCGCCGCGCGCCGUCCCCGUGGCGAGGAACAACUUUACGAGCUUCCUGUGGAGAGUCGGAGGUAUUUGUGGAGGCGGCGUCUGAUUGGUCCUCGGGCUGAACGACCUUAAAGACGCUGCUGAGCCAGCGCUUCACACCCUAUAUACCCUGUUACAUCGCUACUGUCCGGACAGCCUCUUCUUCUUCUCCUUGUUCUUGUUCUUCUUCUUCCUCGUCGUCACACAGCAGAGAACCAGCAGCAGCAGCAUGUCUGACGCAAAGAAAAUGUCGUCCAGCCGCAAGCAUCACCUGAAGAGUUUGAUCCUGGGGAUCGCC